rnacentral:rRNA from 1 species
AUUGAACGCUGGCGGCAGGCCUAACACAUGCAAGUCGAACGAGUGGCGGACGGGUGAGUAAUGUCUGGGAAACUGCCUGAUGGAGGGGGAUAACUACUGGAAACGGUAGCUAAUACCGCAUACCAUCAGAUGUGCCCAGAUGGGAUUAGCUAGUGGGGGGGGUAACGGCUCACCAGGGCGACGAUCCCUAGCUGGUCUGACAGGAUGAAAAGCCACUCUGGAACUGAGACACGGUCCAGACUCCAACGGGAGGCAGCAGGGGGGAAUAUUGCAAAAUGGGCGCAAGCAUGAUGCAGCAAUGCCGCGUGGAUGAAGAAGGCCUUCGGGUUGUAAAGUACUUUCAGCGGGGAGGCGUUACCCGCAGAAGAAGCACCGGCUAACUCCGUGCCAGCCGCCGCGGUAAUAC